rnacentral:rRNA from 1 species
AUUGAACGCUGGCGGCAUGCUUUACACAUGCAAGUCGAACGGUAACAGGCCGCAAGGUGCUGACGAGUGGCGAACGGGUGAGUAAUGCAUCGGAACGUGCCCAGUCGUGGGGGAUAACGCAGCGAAAGCUGCGCUAAUACCGCAUACGAUCUAUGGAUGAAAGCGGGGGACCGUAAGGCCUCGCGCGAUUGGAGCGGCCGAUGUCAGAUUAGGUAGUUGGUGGGGUAAAGGCUCACCAAGCCAACGAUCUGUAGCUGGUCUGAGAGGACGACCAGCCACAUUGGGACUGAGACACGGACAAGACUCCUACGGGAGGCAGCAGUGGGGAAUGUUGGACAAUGGGCGCAAGCCUGAUCCAGCAAUGCCGCGUGCAGGAAGAAGGCCUUCGGGUUGUAAACUGCUUUUGUGCGGAACGAAACGGUCCUGGUUAAUACCUGGGGCUAAUGACGGUACCGUAAGAAUAAGCACCGGCUAACUACGUGCCAGCCGCCGCGGUAAGAC